AUGGAAUCUUAUCUCACUUAGCAGACUAGAUUCGAAAGGCUACAGGACGGUAGCUGGUGGAGGAAUCCUAAGGGUGCUACACGGCGCUAGGAUUAUGCUGGAGGGGAAGAAGGAGAGCAGAGGAUAUUAUUACCUGAUGAAAAGCCCAGUGCGAGGUGGAGCUUCAGGAGCCAGGUAGAGCCCAGAGCGAGGUGGAGCUCCAAGUGGAGAAGGAUCGGGCACGAGAUAGGAGACUCGGG
rnacentral:lncRNA from 1 species